UGUGUUUACCUCCACAUGCACAAGCACCACAGUGCAUGAUGAGGCCAGAGGACAACUUUCCAGAGUUGGGUUCCAGGGACUGAACUUGAUUUGUCAGGCUUGGCAGCAAGUGCCUUUUCCCACUGAGCAAUCUUUCUGGCCUAACAGGUUGCUUUUAUGGACAGAGAAGGACUUUAAAAAGUAUGCAAAAUGCAGAGUUUGUCACUAUCAAUUAUUUGUACAAUGAGACAAGAAGACAAAACAAUAGAAAAAAUAGCUGAUUAGUGAACACCAGAUUGCUUUAGGUCACUUCCUUUAAACAAGGAUGAAAACAGAGAGUUUCAUUAUCACUGUAGAAACUAACCUGACUGGGAAAUUUGCCUGCUCUCACUCACUUCUUACUGUUUACUGGGAAACCAGUUAACAGCUUAGUUUUCAUUUGAAGACAAGUAAUUUAGUUCAGGUGGAAGCAUUGAGAUUGUUCAGUCUCAUCUAUUGGGAUCCAGUACAGAAACUAAGUAAAAAAACAAUGGCCCCCUCUAAUACCUAUUUAACAAUACUAGUAGACAUUGUUAUUAUAUCUCGAUUUUGAGUACUAGAUCUUUUAUAAUUUGUUCCCACACUACAAUGUUUUGGCUCUAUUAAUGAAGCCAUUAAACAACAGAAUAUGAUUGCCAUUUUAUUUGUCUAGUCUAGAUCCACAUUCAAGACCCUUGACCUAUUGUAUGUGUGCUGUGCUGUGUGUGUGUGUGUGUGUGUGUGUGUGUGUGUGUGUGUGUUCACUUACAAAUCUCCAUCUCUUUAAAGUGCAGAGGGAGAGGAAGUGAAGAAAGAUGUUCUGAAGGUUCUGAAUUCUUCUCCAGGAAGGCUGGGCUGGUCCUGUCUUUUGGAGACUGUUCUCUGUUUCUCUUGCUCGUUUCUCUUCCUUCCCUCUCCUCUUCUUCAUCCCUUCUCUCUUAACACCCACCCACUCCCCUAUGCCGGUGGCCUUGCUAUGUAUUCCAGGCUUGCCUCAAAUUCAUAGUCCUCCUGUUCCAGCUUCCCUUGUGCUGGGGUUGCAGUCAUGCAUCAUCAUGUCAAGUGUCACAGAGGGGAUUGAUAGACUGAUUGACUGAUCUAAAGUACUGGGGAUUGAAUCCAGGGUCUCACCCAUGGUAGGAAGGUAUCUUUCCACUGAGCUAUUGUUUGAGCCCUUUUACCACACAGUUUAGGAAGUACUAACCUAAUAUCAUGGUACUUUUCUGCAGGCCUGAGAACUUCCUCAAUGUGCUUUUUUUUCGGGGGUGGGGUGGAGUAUGCCAUUUAGGCUAUAUAACACAGUGGUGAGUGGAUUCUGGUGGGUCAGUUUCUUAUCUGAAUCAUCAUAUUUUGGGGUGCCAUAUGGUUUGAGAAUAGAUAGCCACUCAACAUUAUACAAACAUUAUCAGACAGGGCCAUGUCACAGAAGUGCUCCAGUUGUUCCACAUUUAAUGUGGCCUUUGGUGACUCAGUGAUGGGAGAGACUGAGAGCAUUAGUGGCCAAGCUACUCUUGUUCAUGUACACUUACAGGCUCUAAGAGGGCUCUCCUAAGUAAUUCCCUCAACUGUGGUUCAUUAGCAGAUGCUAACAAUCCCCUUCUGGCCUUAAUUAAUUACCUUGCUUUGGAGUCAAAGAGGGGAAUGGUUGUCAAGAGUAUUAUUUGCUCAAUUACCCAAAAGCCAUAGAUAAUGUGUGGUAAUGGACUGGAAGAUGGAACACCAGCCUUGCUCCAGUCCCACAACUGUUAAACCUUGUUCUGCUCAUUAAGGCACAUGACAUCAUCCAUGAAAAGAGCUUACAUUUGAGGCAACCGUAAAUGGAGUCGGAGGUGAAAUCUCUCCGUUUACUUUGCAGCAGAAACACAGAAACUCUACACUGCUAAGAGCUUUCAGUUAUUUAAAGACAAAUUACUGAAAGGCCUCUCUGUCCUUCUCCACCUCUCCCUUUUGGUCAUUUUGUGGCUGUUUCACAGCCGACCUCACUCGCAGGCUGGUUAUUCCCUGUAUGGCAUGAUUAACGCUCUGCUCAGAGGCUCUCAUUGAUAACAUUAUAUUUAUGCCUGCUGUUAAAAAUCAUGUUCUAGUUGGUUAGGGCUUGUGCUAUAAAACAAACCCCCUUUUUCAUGUUUUAAGUAACAGACAUUGGUGAAAAUGUAGAUCUCAUCCUAUUUGAGAAAGUCAGAUCAUUGACGUCACAUAGAAACAAAGAAGCUUCAUGCCGUGAUGAGCUAAAGAUGGAAGGAAGCACAUCACAUGUGUUUGGCAUAUGUAUGGUUCCAAACAUAUAUGUAUGUGAUCAGUGUGCAUGCACUGUGUUUAAGUUCAGUGUAUGUGUGUGUGUGGUUUCUCUAUGUGGUAGUAUGUUUGGUAUUGUAUGUGCAUGUGUAUGUUUGGCAUGUAUGUACCAUAUUUAACUCUGUGGAUGGUUGCUAUGUGGUGCAAAUGUAUGGUAUAGAUUAUAUAUGUUAUGUGGUUGGUAUGCAUGUACCAUGUUUACCUCUGUGUGUGUGAGUUUGCUGUCUGUGGUGUACACGUGUGGUGUGGUACAUAUGUGUGUGUAAUGUGUAUGUAAUGUGCUUAACUCUGAGCCCAUGUGGGGGUAGGGUUUUAUUCAGAAAGUAUUUCCUGGGCUGUCUUGAAGGAUGAGUGCCUGAAGGAUUGUAAGAGUCAGGUCCCUUAGGCAGAAUAAACAGUACUCCAAUGUGCAGAGAGGGAACCAGUCUUGAUAAAGCUUAGUAUCCUGGGAGGUGGUGCUGUGCUAAGAGGUUCUGACCUGCUCACUAGUGACCUGUGUGUCCAUCUCAGGCCAAAUAAAUCAGACUUGAUGAGGGAACGUAGCUAGUUUUGUCUCAUCAGCAACAUGGAAAUUGACCUUUGGGGGUGAAUCACAGGAAAUUGUCCCUGGGCUUAUAUGUUCCCCAACACCCUCUGUGGUUUUCACUGAUUGCAGAGCUAACUAGGUAUGUACUUAAACCCCAGGGACUGAGACUUUGGCUCGUUUGCAUGGUCCAUGUGUUUCCUCAGACUCUGACUCCAGCUUGUUGACCCUGAAUCUGUUUCUUUUCUGCUGAAAAGAAUAUCUGCAGCCUUCUUUAAAAAAAUAACUGAGUUUCAGAACACUGCUCUGUGUAUAUAUACUUGUCUACCAUUCAUAACUGCCUUUUCAACCAAGACUGCCAUUUAGACCAAAAGCUCUCAGCGGCAACUGCAGGCUGCUAUCCUUCACCAGUUACAGCUUGGGAUAACCCUCCUUGAAUAUAAAAGGAUCAAUUUAGAACCUGUGAAAAUGUCUCCAGUUUUUGACUUUCUAUCCUUUAUUGAAUUAUUUGUAGCCCACAAAUGCUAUUCACAGCUUUAAAGAAAAAGAGAACACUAAAUAUGUUUUUGCUGUUUCCUUGCUAAUGUCUGAUUCCUGUAGCUCACCCGUGUGUGCUAAUCAAAUUAUGUUGACACCAUCUCCUUUCAAAAAAAAGAAAAAGAACUAUCACCAGCAGCCCCCUGCUACCUCACCCCUGCUAUUCUCACCCCCUGCUAUCUCCACCUCUGCUACCCCCACCCCUGCUACCCUCACCCCUAUUGUCCCUACUCCCUGCUACCCCCACCUCUGCUACCCCCACACCCUGCUACCCUCACCCCUAUUAUCCCUACUCCCUGCUACCAUCGCCCCCUGCUACUCUCACCCCUGCUAUCCCUAUUCCCUUUUAUCACCACCUCUUGCUACUCUCACCCCCACCCCAUAUCCCUACCCCAUUAUCCCUACUCCUUGCCCCUACCCUCAUCCCCUGCUCUCCCCACCCCCUGCUGGGGGAGAAUGAGUGUUGAUACACCAGCUAAGCAUUAGGACACUGUCAGCCUGGAAUACUUGCUUGGGGCUUCCUCAUUCUGAGCUAUAAUGAAAACAGACAGAAUUCUCAGCCUCAGUCAGCAUUUGUCAUCUAAGAACCUUGACUAUUUAUUGUGAGGUAAUGUUGUCCAAUGGUUGACAGAUUUCAUUUUAGCACUAGGUUCAGUUUUGCUGGCAUCGCCCUUACCAAUGGGGGCAUACAGUACAUCAUUGCUCAGGUAAAUUUCUAUACCUGAGAUUUGCAAAAUGAUCAGGACUCUGAGAGGGAGGAUUGGAAAUGCCUUACCCACCACAAAGAGUGCUCAGGAAACAGGUUGUUAGUUUUUAACUAUAUGAAUAUAGAAAGAAAACCCCGACUCCACCCUCCACUUCUCAAUAUGGAUCAAACCCUGGAUCCCCUAACUCCUAAGCAAGUGCCACACCACUGAGCUACACCCAGAGCCCUCUCUCUCAUUUGUUAUCCUAUUGGUUAGAGGUUUGUCCCAGUUUUAAAGGAAUUCAGUUCAGAAUUGUAAUGGCCAGUCUCCAGAAUGGCCGGCACUACUUCACAGGAUCUCAUCCCUUGUCACAUUUCACAGGAUUUGGCUGUCACCAACAGGGUUGUUACAAGCUAAACAUUUGUGUCCCAUCCAUAUCUAAAGUCCUAACCUCCAAUGUGAUGAUCUUAGGAUGGGCCUUUGGGGGUACCUAGGUCUGAGUAAGGUCAUGACGGUGGAGCCCACAUGGGCUUGGUGCCUUUAUAAGAAGAUGGCAAUGCAAUAGAGCUUCCUAAUUCUCCCACAUGAGGACACAACCAGGAAGAGAACCCUCACCAAAGACCAAAUCAGCCAGUAUCAUGAUCUUGGCCUUCCCAGCCUUCAGAUCUAUAGAAAUAAAUGUCUGUUUUUCAAGUCACCUGGUCUACAUUGAGCUAAAACUCACAGAGCUGAGACCUCUCAACAUGUCACCAGACACUCUGCGGCAUCCACUUUGCCCCCCACCCCCCAGGACUGUGAUGAUUGCCAGCCGGCUUACCAUAAAGAGACUUACACAGCAGAGGCCUAAGUGCAGGAGCCGGGGCUUUCCAACAGCCCUCUCCAUGUAAGCAAAUCCUCAGAGAAAAAUGUCUUCUAGUCUCAAGGUCAGGACCUGAAAUCCAAAUGGCAUGUUGAGCUCUCAGCUGCAACUUUCUGAGACAUGAAUUCCUGGUCCAUGCUGUAAAAGAAAGUUAAUGUUUACUGUUGUUUUGAGCUGCUAAGCUUGGGGGUAAUUUCUAGUAAACUUUAAAAAAAAUUCAAAUAUAAUUGAAAAUAAAUUUCCUAAUGGGAAUGACUAAGGAAUCUGCACAUACUUGACUCCUCAGACUUCAAAUGAAAUUGCCCUACAAUGACUUUUGGCAUUAUUCCUGGACAAGUCAUAGGACACAGCUCUUGGACCAAGCUGCCAUGUGCAGUCUACAGGUCACAAUGGUCCCAGAUCACACUAGUAUUUUUAAGUGUUUACUGUUCAACAUUGAAAAAAUUGAAUUCAUUCAAAGUAAGUUUAUGGUAACUAUUCUUUUGAUAAUAGAAUAUGGUAACAUUGGGCCUGCCAUAUAUGAUGAAAACAGAAGACAGUGGCAGCUUCCCAUAUGGUCUCCAGUUUGCAUGGACUCCACUACCCCAUUUAACUCACCCGUUUCCUACUUGGGGACUUCAGGGAGCUUGUUCAUCACCAUUGCACUGUAAGCAGCUAAGAGAGACAGUCUUAAUAUCCCUGGUAACACUGACUGGCUUAUUCCCUGCCAUACAGUAAGCCCUAAAAUGGAUUCAUUCAUUUGUAGAUGUUUAUUACUGGCCAUUUUGCUUUGAGAACUUUUAUAGUUUUAUACCUAUUUCUCAAAAUUAGUUGUACUAAAAGUAUAAUUACUAGACCUCAUUUACAACUGCUAUUGCAACUGGCUACCUCUCAGAAAUGUGCCUGUAAGUCCCCUUUGAAUUUCUGUGUGCUCUCUCAGCUCUUAAAAUUACUAAUAUCUCUGUUUCGAAGUCAUUGUACAUUUAGACUAUGGCAGAUGUGUGUGCUUGUGGGUAUUCACAUGCUGAAGAUUAAACCUAAGGUCUUAUGCAUACUAUGAUUACACUAUACCACUGAGCUAUACACCUCAGCCUCCAUGCCUUUUUUAAAAAAAAUCUAUUUCCUACAUCUUCCCUUUGAAAGGCCCUGGAAUUGUAGAGCUUCAGUUGUAGUUACUAAACAUUAUUUUACAAUAACAGGGAAAGAUAUAUUUGGGAGAAAUGACUGACUCAAAGUCUAAAAUCAAAGAUGUACAUGAGCUUAGUUAUACUAGAAAACAAGGCAACGGUGCAAGAUUGUUUUUUGGGGGUAGUACAUGUCUGUAUUUCCCCAAGGUUAUAGGUGGAAACUUCAAUCUCGGUGUGGUGAAAUUUGAAGGUGGCACUUUGGGAAGUAACUAGGUCAUGAAUGUGAGACUUUUGUUUGUUUGUUUGUUUUUCGAGACAGGGUUUCUCUGUGUAGCUUUGGAGCCUAUCCUGGCACUCGCUCUGGAGACCAGGCUGGCCUUGAACUCACAGAGAUCCGCCUGCCUCUGCCUCCCAAGUGCUGGGAUUAAAGGCAUGCACCACCAACGCCCAGCCGAAGGUGAGACAUUUUAUGAGUGGUUAAUGUCUUUACAGAACAAGGCAGAGACUAGAACUAUUUCUCUCUCCUCCUCAUAUGUCAGAAUAGUAUCUGUCAGGAAAGAAGCUCUCUACAGGGACUGAGUCACCCAGCACACUGAUUUUCAGAACUUUAUGUGUCUGCAGCUUAAGUCAUCCAGGUUAUGGAAAAGUCAUUCAUUGCUUAAUGACUAAGAUCCAUUCUGAGAAAUGCAUCAUUUAGUGAUCUCUUCAUUGCAUGUACAUGAUCAAGUGUACUUGCACGCAUGAGUGGCAUAGCAUCUGUUUUGCUGGCACAGGAGGGCAUGACAGAGAAGUUGUGUCACACAUGAUCAUUUGAUGUAAUGUGUUGGCAGUGUAUGUGUCCUAGUAAGAUAUGUGUGCCCUGGCCUCUUGCUAUGCUGGAUCACAAUGGCUUCAAUGCUGUCCACCAAGCAAGAUUAUUUUCUCGUUUUUCAAAUUUUUGAAAUAUGAAGUUAACUUGCCUUAUAGAGAAAAGGCCUUUCAAACAUGUGUCUCUGUGAGAGUAGGAUUUUGUCUAGAACAGUGGUUUUCAACCUUCCUAAUGCUCCAACACUUUAAUACAGUUCCUCAUGUUGUGGUGCCCUUCAACCAUAAAAUUAUUUCAUUGCUGCUUAAUAACUGUAAGUUUGCUACUAUUGUGAAUCAUAAUGUAAACAACUGUAUUUUCCAAUGGUUGUAGGUGAUCCCUGUGAGUCACUCAACCCUCAAAGGGGUCAUGAUCCACAGGUUGAGAAUUGCUGGUCUAGAGAGAAAAUUUGCCUGAGAAGUAACUUUUCUCCUCCAUCUGCUUAUCUAGAGCCUACAAUCCUCUACCUUCACAUCAGCACUUGCUUGCACACAGCUCACUUUAUUAUAUCAUAGAUAAUGAUUCUUGGGUCUUUAAAACUACCCAGACUUAGUACUAAGUUUACCACAAAAAAUAGGUCCAGACUUUUCUUUCAGCAUUAUAAACAAGCUGGAAGAGAUAUGAUCUCAAUUAGAUCAUCACCAGUUUCUCCAUACAUUUUACAGGACCUUUUGAAUUUUCGUUUGUUCCUUUAACAGGUUUUUGGAGUUUUGUUCGUGUUCUUCAAAACUGUGGGUAUGGUGUGGUAGGACAUGUCUGACUGUAUUAGGCGUGUGUUUUCUACACACAGAAGUCAUCAAGAACAAAAGGCACAAGGUUAAAUCAAGGACAAGAGUAAAUGAUACAAUCCAGAGCUGUGGUGAAAGCACCAGCAGCCUGAAGUAAGGGCAGCACUGAAUUGAGUUGGUACUAGAUGUCACCUGGGGCUUCAUGAGUAAGAAAUGGAAACUAUAAAGCCUGUUUGAACUAUGACGUUGAACUGUAUAAUUUCUCGAUUAGCCAAGCUGUGCCUAACGUUUGGCUGUGGGUCUCUGCAUCUGCUCUAAUCAUUUGUUGGAUAAGGCCUCUAUGAUGACGAUUAUGCUAGGCUCCUGUCUAAGAGUAUAGCAGACAUCAUUAGGAAUCAUUUCAUUUGACUUUUUCUCUCGUUUGGUUAGUUCUAUCCUAGGUCUCUGGGAUAUCCAGUUUCUGGUUUGUGGAUAGGUAUGCCACAUGGGUCUCAAUCUGGACAAGUCAUUGGUUGGCUACUCCCACAAGUUCUAUGCUACCUUUACCCCAGAACAUCUUAAAGACAGGGCAAAUUGUAGGUUGAGGGUUUUGUAGCUGGGUUGGUGUCCUCAUCCCUCCUCUGAAAAUCUUACCUGGUUACAGAAGAUGACCAGUUCAGGCUCCGUAUCCCCUGCUAUAGGAGUCUCCACUGGGGUCACCCCGUAGAUUCCUGAGAGUUUCCAUUUUACUAGGUUUCUACCUCACCCUCAAAAUACUCCCCAAUUCCAGUCAUGUCACAGUAGUCUCUCCCUCCAUUCCCCCAAAUCUGAUCGCUCCUGAAAUUAUAAUCUAUGACAAGAGUUCAGUGUCCUGUAAUUCUUGCAUGCAUGCUGCAUUGAUCUUCCCAUCUAGAAAGUAUAAUGUCUCAGGCUUCUAAUAUUGGCUAACUGAAUCAUCACAAUUCCUAGAAGAGACACUGGCAGUAUUCUAAAGGGGAUUCCAAAAGGCCAUGGCAAGAUAUUCUGAGGGGUAAGCAAUGGUAAGGAUGUAGGAAGGUACUUAAAUAGAGACUGCACUGUGAGGAAACUGCAAAGAAUUGUUAAUGAACUAGGCAUUUGGAUGAAUGCAGCAAGAGGCCUCUUCCUUGCCUCUGCCUGUGAAGCAUAAAUACAAUACCUUAAUAAUCGAAUGGCUUCAUGAUUGUUCCCAAUUUU